rnacentral:rRNA from 1 species
CUAACGUCCGUCGUGAAGAGGGAAACAACCCAGACCGCCAGCUAAGGUCCCAAAGUCAUGGUUAAGUGGGAAACGAUGUGGGAAGGCCCAGACAGCCAGGAUGUUGGCUUAGAAGCAGCCAUCAUUUAAAGAAAGCGUAAUAGCUCACUGGUCGAGUCGGCCUGCGCGGAAGAUGUAACGGGGCUAAACCAUGCACCGAAGCUGCGGCAGCGACGCUUAUGCGUUGUUGGGUAGGGGAGCGUUCUGUAAGCCUGUGAAGGUGUGCUGUGAGGUAUGCUGGAGGUAUCAGAAGUGCGAAUGCUGACAUAAGUAACGAUAAAGCGGGUGAAAAGCCCGCUCGCCGGAAGACCAAGGGUUCCUGUCCAACGUUAAUCGGGGCAGGGUGAGUCGACCCCUAAGGCGAGGCCGAAAGGCGUAGUCGAUGGGAAACAGGUUAAUAUUCCUGUACUUGGUGUUACUGCGAAGGGGGGACGGAGAAGGCUAUGUUGGCCGGGCGACGGUUGUCCCGGUU